AAGCGAGCGCAGGCGGUUUUUUAAGUCUGAUGUGAAAGCCCUCGGCUUAACCGAGGAAGCGCAUCGGAAACUGGGAAACUUGAGUGCAGAAGAGGACAGUGGAACUCCAUGUGUAGCGGUGAAAUGCGUAGAUAUAUGGAAGAACACCAGUGGCGAAGGCGGCUGUCUGGUCUGUAACUGACGCUGAGGCUCGAAAGCAUGGGUAGCGAACAGGAUUAGAUACCCUGGUAGUCCAUGCCGUAAACGAUGAAUGCUAGGUGUUGGAGGGUUUCCGCCCUUCAGUGCCGCAGCUAACGCAUUAAGCAUUCCGCCUGGGGAGUACGACCGCAAGGUUGAAACUCAAAGGAAUUGACGGGGGCCCGCACAAGCGGUGGAGCAUGUGGUUUAAUUCGAAGCAACGCGAAGAACCUUACCAGGUCUUGACAUCUUUUGAUCACCUGAGAGAUCAGGUUUCCCCUUCGGGGGCAAAAUGACAGGUGGUGCAUGGUUGUCGUCAGCUCGUGUCGUGAGAUGUUGGGUUAAGUCCCGCAACGAGCGCAACCCUUAUGACUAGUUGCCAGCAUUGAGUUGGGCACUCUAGUAAGACUGCCGGUGACAAACCGGAGGAAGGUGGGGAUGACGUCAAAUCAUCAUGCCCCUUAUGACCUGGGCUACACACGUGCUACAAUGGAUGGUACAACGAGUUGCGAGACCGCGAGGUCAAGCUAAUCUCUUAAAGCCAUUCUCAGUUCGGACUGUAGGCUGCAACUCGCCUACACGAAGUCGGAAUCGC
rnacentral:rRNA from 2 species